GACGGCGGAUGCCAGCGUUAUCCGGAAUGGUUGGGCGUAAAGCGUUCGCAGGUGGCUGUUCAAGUCUGCUGUCAAAGACCGGGGCUUAACCCUAGAAAGGCAGUGGAAACUGAACGGCUGGAGUGCAGUAGGGGUAGAGGGAAUUCCCAGUGUAGCGGUGAAAUGCGUAGAGAUUGGGAAGAACACCGGUGGCGAAAGCGCUCUGCUGGACUGCAACUGACACUGAGGGACGAAGGCUAGGGGAGCGAAAGGG
rnacentral:rRNA from 1 species